AUUGAACGCUGGCGGCAGGCCUAACACAUGCAAGUCGAGCGGUAGAGAGAAGCUUGCUUCUCUUGAGAGCGGCGGACGGGUGAGUAAUGCCUAGGAAUCUGCCUAGUGGUGGGGGAUAACGUUCGGAAACGGACGCUAAUACCGCAUACGUCCUACGGGAGAAAGCGGGGGACCUUCGGGCCUCGCGCCAUUAGAUGAGCCUAGGUCGGAUUAGCUAGUUGGUGAGGUAAUGGCUCACCAAGGCUACGAUCCGUAACUGGUCUGAGAGGAUGAUCAGUCACACUGGAACUGAGACACGGUCCAGACUCCUACGGGAGGCAGCAGUGGGGAAUAUUGGACAAUGGGCGAAAGCCUGAUCCAGCCAUGCCGCGUGUGUGAAGAAGGUCUUCGGAUUGUAAAGCACUUUAAGUUGGGAGGAAGGGUAGUAACUUAAUACGUUGCUACUUUGACGUUACCGACAGAAUAAGCACCGGCUAACUUCGUGCCAGCAGCCGCGGUAAUACGAAGGGUGCAAGCGUUAAUCGGAAUUACUGGGCGUAAAGCGCGCGUAGGUGGUUCAG
rnacentral:rRNA from 1 species